GCCUGGGUGGCUCAGUCGGCUGAGUGUCCGACUUCAGCUCGGGUCAUGAUCUCACAGUCUGUGAGUUCGAGCCCCACGUCAGGCU
rfam:Felis catus isolate Cinnamon breed Abyssinian chromosome C2, whole genome shotgun sequence.